UUCAAGCUUGAUGUUUAUGCUUUGUAUGCCAUUUUGGUGUACAUGGCUGUCAUUUGGAGUCUUGAGGGGUUUAAAAUCGAGAAGAAAGAGAAGAGAGGAGGGAUGAUAUAUCUUACUACUAUUUCUAGCUAUUAAUCAAGUCUUGGAGCUUGAAAUCUUUAGAGUAGUAAGUUGUAGCUUCAAAUUCUUGUACUAUAGAAAUGUAGCUUUGAAAGGAAUCUUACUUGUAGCUCCAUGUAUCCAAUUUGUAUAGCAUGUGUUGUACUUUGUACUAAUUUAUUUCUCUUUUCCUUCU